GGCAGGCCUAACACAUGCAAGUCGAGGGGUAACAGGGAGCUUGCUCCGCUGACGACCGGCGCACGGGUGCGCAACGCGUAUACAAUCUACCUCUAACUAAGGGAUAGCCCAGAGAAAUUUGGAUUAACACCUUAUAUUAUAUGGAGUCGGCAUCGGCAUUAUAUUAAAGAUAACGGUAAAAGAUGAGCAUGCGUCCCAUUAGUUUGUUGGUGAGGUAAUGGCUCACCAAGACUACGAUGGGUAGGGGGCCUGAGAGGGUUAUCCCCCACACUGGUACUGAGACACGGACCAGACUCCUACGGGAGGCAGCAGUGAGGAAUAUUGGUCAAUGGACGAAAGUCUGAACCAGCCAUGCCGCGUGCAGGAUGACUGCCCUAUGGGUUGUAAACUGCUUUUAUAUAGGAAGAAACCUCUCGACGUGUCGGGAUUUGACGGUACUGUAAGAAUAAGGAUCGGCUAACUCCGUGCCAGCAGCCGCGGUAAUACGGAGGAUCCAAGCGUUAUCCGGAAUCAUUGGGUUUAAAGGGUCCGUAGGUGGAUAAUUAAGUCAGAGGUGAAAAAUUGCGAAGGCAGAUCACUAACACUAUAUUGACGCUGAGGGACGAAAGCGUGGGGAGCGAACAGGAUUAGAUACCCUGGUAGUCCACGCCGUAAACGAUGGAUACUAGCUGUUCGAUCUUCGGACUGAGUGGCUAAGCGAAAGUGAUAAGUAUCCCACCUGGGGAGUACGUUCGCAAGAAUGAAACUCAAAGGAAUUGACGGGGGCCCGCACAAGCGGUGGAGCAUGUGGUUUAAUUCGAUGAUACGCGAGGAACCUUACCAGGGCUUAAAUGCAUUUUGACAGGGGUAGAGAUACCUUUUCCUUCGGGCAAUUUGCAAGGUGCUGCAUGGUUGUCGUCAGCUCGUGCCGUGAGGUGUCAGGUUAAGUCCUAUAACGAGCGCAACCCCUACCGUUAGUUGCCAGCGAGUCAUGUCGGGGACUCUAACGGGACUGCCGGUGCAAACCGUGAGGAAGGUGGGGAUGACGUCAAAUCAUCACGGCCCUUACGUCCUGGGCCACACACGUGCUACAAUGGCCGGUACAGAGAGCAGCCACUUGGCAACAAGGAGCGAAUCUAUAAAACCGGUCACAGUUCGGAUCGGGGUCUGCAACUCGACCCCGUGAAGCUGGAAUCGCUAGUAAUCGGAUAUCAGCCAUGAUCCGGUGAAUACGUUUCCGGGCCUUGUACACACCGCCCGUCAAGCCAUGGAAGCCGGGAGUGCCUGAAGUCCGUCACCGCAAGGAGCGGCCUAGGGCAAG
rnacentral:rRNA from 1 species